GACGAACGCUGGCGGCGUGCUUAACACAUGCAAGUCGAACGGAAAGGCCCUGCUUUUGUGGGGUGCUCGAGUGGCGAACGGGUGAGUAACACGUGAGUAACCUGCCCUUGACUUUGGGAUAACUUCAGGAAACUGGGGCUAAUACCGGAUAGGAGCUCCUGCUGCAUGGUGGGGGUUGGAAAGUUUCGGCGGUUGGGGAUGGACUCGCGGCUUAUCAGCUUGUUGGUGGGGUAGUGGCUUACCAAGGCUUUGACGGGUAGCCGGCCUGAGAGGGUGACCGGCCACAUUGGGACUGAGAUACGGCCUAGACUCCUACGGGAGGCAGCAGUGGGGAAUAUUGCACAAUGGGCGGAAGCCUGAUGCAGCAACGCCGCGUGCGGGAUGACGGCCUUCGGGUCGUAAACCGCUUUCGCCUGUGACGAAGCGUGAGUGACGGUAAUGGGUAAAGAAGCACCGGCUAACUACGUG
rnacentral:rRNA from 1 species